UUCGCCCUUAGAGUUUGAUCCUGGCUCAGGACGAACGCUGGCGGCGUGCCUAACACAUGCAAGUCGAGCGGGGAACAUUGGAAGCUUGCUUUUGGUGUUUCUAGCGGCGGACGGGUGAGUAACGCGUGAGCAAUCUGUCUCAGACAGGGGGAUAACGCAGCGAAAGUUGCACUAAUACCGCAUAAGACCACAGAGCCACAUGGCUUAGGGGUCAAAGGAGCAAUCCGGUCUGAGGUGAGCUCGCGUCCCAUUAGGUAGUUGGUGAGGUAACGGCCCACCAAGCCUGCGAUGGGUAGCCGACCUGAGAGGGUGAUCGGCCACACUGGAACUGAGACACGGUCCAGACUCCUACGGGAGGCAGCAGUGGGGAAUAUUGGGCAAUGGGGGAAACCCUGACCCAGCAACGCCGCGUGAGGGAAGAAGGUUUUCGGAUUGUAAACCUCUGUCCUAAGAGAAGAGGGGAAGACGGUAUCUUAGGAGGAAGCCCCGGCUAACUACGUGCCAGCAGCCGCGGUAAUACGUAGGGGGCGAGCGUUGUCCGGAAUGAUUGGGCGUAAAGGGCGUGUAGGCGGCUUUAUAAGUCUGGAGUGAAAGUCCUGUUUUCAAGAUGGGAAUUGCUUUGGAUACUGUAGGGCUUGAGUGCAGGAGAGGUUAUCGGAAUUCCCGGUGUAGCGGUGAAAUGCGUAGAGAUCGGGAGGAACACCAGUGGCGAAGGCGGGUAACUGGACUGCAACUGACGCUGAGGCGCGAAAGUGUGGGGAGCAAACAGGAUUAGAUACCCUGGUAGUCCACACUGUAAACGAUGAAUGCUAGGUGUAGGGGGUAUCGACCCCUUCUGUGCCG
rnacentral:rRNA from 1 species